UCCCUGGGAGAUGCAAAGGGGGAUUCUCCUUCCUGGAGUAAACAUGAUUACAGGUAAACUGGAAUCUCCCGGCCAGCAGCUCUGGUUAGUGUAAGUUAAUGCACUCCUAUAGCUGUUCAGGCUGGGGGCUCUGUGUGUGUGAUAACCCCACUCUGAGAGGAUAGGUAGGGGUGAUUAUCCUCCUUCCAGUAACACACCAUGGCACCCACAGCACACCCCUGCUGUCCUGGGGGCUGGGAGAAGCCAUGGCAGCUGCCUGUGAUGGCAGCACUUACAGACCAGUUGGUGAUACCGGGAAUUGCAGAAGGUCCGAGCACCUGCUGUGGUCCUAGCUGGGGUCAGAGGAUGGGGUACACCUUUUGCUGCUGGGGUGUGAGCACUGUGCCCGUGCAAGUGUCAUGGGAAAGAGCUUGCUUGUGGCUUGUACAGUGCAGGGGCUGCUUUGUGGGGACUUCUGAGGGAAAACAUAGCUUCUAAAAUUAAAAUAAGCAUUUCAUAUAGGACUAAAUAAUGGGGGCUUUUGUACUUUUGGCCCUCGGGAUAGCUGUGGGACCUGGAUGCUGAAGACUGCAUCAGUGAAUGGGUAACUGCACAGAAAUGGAUGUGAAUACAAAUGGGCCUUUUGGCGUCUGUCUGAAAAUGGUGACAACCCCCUUUAUUUUAGUGUACUGCUGCUGCUCCUUCAGAUGCCAUUGAAUUUCUGAUUAGCAGUAACUCAGGCUGUAAGUAAGUGUGGGUGUGGGCUUUGCAGAACACUCCAGUGAGACAAGCAUUAACAGGAGAGUGUGUACGUGUGUUAGGGCAACAGAUCCCUUUGAUGGCCUCUUGGUCUGUCCAUCCUGUGAAGCUGAGGCUCUUCUGCAGUCUGGCAGGAUGGCCUGAUGGAAGGGGACAUCUUGUGUGUCAAUAAGCCCUUAAUAAGCUAUUUACAGGUACUAUUUAGUUACAGAGCAAAGACCUUAUUAACUGCUAGAUUUUAAAACCCCACAGUGGCAUAGCUCCAGGUUGCUGCUCAUGAGUUUCUUCUCUGCAGUCUCUUGCUUCAUUUGCUUGUGUGGCAUGACGUCUUCUCACUGCUGUGGGUGCAGGAGCCUUCUCCUAGGCUGCUCACUCAUACCAGUUUUUCUUGCAGGUACCUUGCUAGUAUGCAUCUCAAAAACUUACAGGAAAAGUAUUUAUUCUAUGACUUUACAUUAAUUUCUAACAUUUUAUUUUGCUACAGCUUCAAUACAGCUUGCAGCCUGCCAGGCUAACUCCUGACACGUUAGUAACACACUGGUAUUAAAGCAGUAUUUCUGGUGACUUUGUGAGCAUUCCCUCUAGUUCAGCUGUAACUUUCCCAAAUGCCUUUAGACCUUGUUGCAGGAAACAGUAUCUUCUCUGCAUCUGCUCAUCUGUGUUUUGGCCAUUAAAUUUACAGCACCUGAAUUUGUUGAUGUGUGAAGUAGCAGGAUCUAAUUUGCUGCUCUGCAGUUGCAGUCAUCCUGUCUGUUUGUCUGUGACUGACUUUCUGUUGUUGCAUCCUGCCAGCUCUGAAGAGCUGAUGUGAAGUCAAAACAUGCGUUUAUUCAUGGCAGAAAGCAUCUGCUCACUGAGAGUGUGCUUGAGACUGUUUGGUCAAUGUCCAGGAUGAGUGCAAACAAUUUGUCACCCAGUUUUGGUUUAAUAAGGGUGCUGAGGCCAAUUAGUGACAGCGGUUUGGGAGGCAAUUAAUGCUGCCCCCACCAGCAGGGAGAAAACACCACUAAUGAUUAGUGUUAGCAGGGAGAGAGAGCGGCCAACAGGAGUCACCAUUGUAAAGGUAAGCUUGGCCUUCCUUAGCAGUGCAGUUAGGUUCCAGGUGAGCAGUAGGUUGUAGAACAAUCACAGCCCCUCACAGCAGCCUGCUGUGAGGAUGCUCACAGGGGUGGCUUGGGCUGCUGUUGCUGCUGUGGAGCAUUAGUUUUCUUAUGAGCUCCUCUUGAGUUCCAGGGUGUUUUUUUUCUCAGUUUUCAUAGAUAUGGGAUAUUGAUGCCUUGACUUCUCUAAAAGAAAAAAAUAAUUCAGUUAUUAUUUAAUGCUUAUUUUUGUCUCAUGUCUUUUUGCAGGAUUUUGUACUGAAAUCCUUGUGGCUCAGUAUUACUGUUAAAGGAGAGUUAGUUGUGUGGGGGGAAGAAGUUCCACUAACAAAUGCUUCUUAGAAUGCCCCUAAGAAACAAGUUGGGGCCCAGCCAGAGCACCAGAAGGAGAAGAUGGCUAGACUUUCUUUCCUUGUUUACUUCUGGAUGAUGAUGAGCUUCUUCUUGCAAAGGGAAGAAUUGACAGCUUUGAACAAGGAACAUCCUGCUCUGUUUGUGCUUCUGCAUCACUUCUCACAAUCCCACUCUUGUGUUUCCCUUGAGGAUUUCCAGCAUCCCAUCGGGUGAACUCUUAUUAGAAAAAAACAAACCCAAACCACAGAAAAACAGAGGAGAGAUUUGUAUUGAAAGACAUAUGAAACCAAUAAACCAGAAAGUUCAUGGAAAUUGA